rnacentral:rRNA from 1 species
ACUGCUCAGGAUGAACGCUAGCGGCAGGCCUAAUACAUGCAAGUCGAACGGACCUUGAUUCUUCGGAAUCUUGGUUAGUGGCGCACGGGUGCGUAACGCGUAUGCAACCUACCUUCCACUGGGGGAUAGCCCACCGAAAGGUGGAUUAAUACCGCAUAACACAACAGCCUGGCAUCAUGCAAUUGUUAAAGCUUUGGCGGUGGAAGAUGGGCAUGCGUGCCAUUAGCUAGUUGGCGGGGUAAAGGCCCACCAAGGCGACGAUGGCUAGGGGUUCUGAGAGGAUGGUCCCCCACACUGGUACUGAGACACGGACCAGACUCCUACGGGAGGCAGCAGUAGGGAAUAUUGGGCAAUGGCCGAGAGGCUGACCCAGCCAUGCCGCGUGCAGGAAGAAGGCCUUCUGGGUUGUAAACUGCUUUUAUCUGGGAAGAAAACGCUCCUGCGGGGGUAACUGACGGUACCAGAUGAAUAAGCACCGGC